UAACAUAUUGCAAGUUAUGGAAAGGGAGUCUCUUCUUCGGUUCUACUCCACGCUUCCAACUCUCCAAGACUCCAUCGCGAAACAACGGAACCAACUCUCCAAACUCCAUUUCUCCUCCCGCAAAAGAUUCCACCGAUCUUAAGAAUUCUCUCACUGGGACAAAGGUUUUCUGUGAUUCUCAAUUUUGUAUUGGAACACCUGACUAUGCGGAUAAUGUGACUUGUUUAUAUAUUGAGGUUUAUGGAGAUGGAAGUUAUAAUCUUGGCUACUUUGUGAAAGAUCUUGUCCAAUAUGAUGGUGUAUCAAGAGAUCUGCAAACUAUGACAGCAAACUAAAGUUUUAUAUUUGGAUGUGGUGCGAGUCAAUCUGGCGAUCUAGAUUCGUCUAAACAUGCUCUUGAUGGAAUAGUUAGUUUUGGAAAAUCAAACUCUUCUUUUAUAUCCCAACUUGCU